CAUUGCUAUUGGGGUCCGAUUUAGCCAUGCUAGUUGCACGAGUUCAUACUCGUGGCGAAAAGCUCAGUAACACGUGGCCAAACUACCCUACAGAGAACGAUAACCUCGGGAAACUGAGGCUAAUAGUUCAUACGGGAGUCAUGCUGGAAUGCCGACUCCCCGAAACGCUCAGGCGCUGUAGGAUGUGGCUGCGGCCGAUUAGGUAGACGGUGGGGUAACGGCCCACCGUGCCGAUAAUCGGUACGGGUUGUGAGAGCAAGAGCCCGGAGACGGAAUCUGAGACAAGAUUCCGGGCCCUACGGGGCGCAGCAGGCGCGAAACCUUUACACUGCACGCAAGUGCGAUAAGGGGACCCCAAGUGCGAGGGCAUAUAGUCCUCGCUUUUCACGACUGUAAGGCGGUCGUGGAAUAAGAGCUGGGCAAGACCGGUGCCAGCCGCCGCGGUAAUACCGGCAGCUCAAGUGAUGACCGAUAUUAUUGGGCCUAAAGCGUCCGUAGCCGGCCACGAAGGUUCAUCGGGAAAUCCGCCAGCUCAACUGGCGGGCGUCCGGUGAAAACCACGUGGCUUGGGACCGGAAGGCUCGAGGGGUACGUCCGGGGUAGGAGUGAAAUCCCGUAAUCCUGGACGGACCACCGAUGGCGAAAGCACCUCGAGAAGACGGAUCCGACGGUGAGGGACGAAAGCUAGGGUCUCGAACCGGAUUAGAUACCCGGGUAGUCCUAGCUGUAAACGAUGCUCGCUAGGUGUGACACAGGCUACGAGCCUGUGUUGUGCCGUAGGGAAGCCGAGAAGCGAGCCGCCUGGGAAGUACGUCCGCAAGGAUGAAACUUAAAGGAAUUGGCGGGGGAGCACUACAACCGGAGGAGCCUGCGGUUUAAUUGA
rnacentral:rRNA from 1 species